UCCAAUUAUCUCUUCAAGUCUAAAAUUAUCACAAGAUUUCAACAUUUUAAUUUUGCUCUCUCCCUCUCUCUCUCUUUUAGGGUUUCAACAGCUUCCUCCGCCUUCUCCGACUCCACCGUUCUGAAAUCAUCGUUGCCUUCUAUUACUUCAUCGGAGCAAGUGAUUCGGCUCUCGUGGUCGCCGAGAAGUUCUUCAUGUGUUGUGCCUUUUCGGUUACUGUUCCUUUGCCGAUCGACAACGAUCAAGAAAACAAGAAUCUAAAAGAAGAGGAAGAGAACUUACAUGAGUAAGUCGCUCCUAUUGUGAAGCUCGAAGAAGUCGUUGUCUCUACCAGAGAAGAAGUAGAGGAUGCUAUUCUCGAAUUUACAGUUUUUAUAAUUUUUAGGUUUCCUUGCUUUUUUAUUUUAGCACAUUCUGUUCAAAUUAUUGACUCGUUUUGUGUGAUUUGUUUUGAAUUGAAAUUCAAAGGAAAUCGGAGCUGUACCGAUUUGAUAAGGAAGCGAAUCAGUGUAAGAAAAGGGGAGCAGGAAGUGUGAAGCUGUUAAAGCAUGUCUUGUUAUUCGUCAAUCCAAGACUCUCAAGAUUUGCGCUAAUCAUCUAGGUAACGAAGCUCCCUUGAUAGUACAAGUACCAGUGCUACGAUCAGCUCAAGCUCUAAUUCAAUAAAUUAUUCAAAUAGCUCUACAAACAACCCUACUCUUGGUGCUGCUGAUUUGGCAGAACCUGGCGUUGGUGGCGUUCCUAAUCACUUCCUUUUUGCAUUUUACAUCAACUAAUGAUCUAUAUGGAAUUAUAGGACAUGGUAAUUGGAUAUCAGAUGUCAUUUUCACAUGAAAUUGAAGUACGGUUCAAGGAUAAAUAUGAUAAGUUCUAGGACGCUUUUAUUGAUGAUUUUGUGAUGGAAGAAUCAAAUUAUUUGGAAAAGAUAACACUGAAGUUUUAUUGGAAUGUCCUAAGGCAAUACCAAGCAAGUUUUUACAGUUCAUUCAGAAUAAAGGCAUCCUUGUUAAUGUGAUUUUCUAGAUUCACAUCGAGGCAAGUCACUCCAAAUUCACUGCUUUGUGGUUCCAGAAUGUAGCAUAAUUUUUAAUUUUCUAAGUCAAGCUGUUGCAUAGGUAUGGGAUGUGGAGAAGAAGUUGUUAAUUGUCUCAUGUGCAUGUUUUUAAGCAAGAGAUAACUUCUUUUACAGUAAUACAACAUUGUCUCUAUAGUAAUACAACAUUGGAACACAUUGAAAAGAAUUUUAAGUUUCUUGUUUUUAUUAAGUAAUUUUAAGUUAC